rnacentral:rRNA from 1 species
CUACGGGAGGCAGCAGUGAGGAAUAUUGGGCAAUGGACGCAAGUCUGACCCAGCCAUCCCGCGUGCAGGAUGACAGCCCUAUGGGUCGUAAACUGCUUUUAUACAGGAAGAAAAGCCCUGACGUGUCAGGGUCUGACGGUACUGUAAGAAUAAGCAUCGGCUAACUCCGUGCCAGCAGCCGCGGUAAUACGGAGGAUGCAAGCGUUAUCCGGAUUUAUUAGGUUUAAAGGGUGCGCAGGCGGAACUUUAAGUCAGUGGUGAAAUCUUGCGGCUUAACCGUAAAAUUGCCGUUGAAACUGAAGUUCUUGAGUAUAGUUGAGGUAGGCGGAAUGUGUCAUGUAGCGGUGAGAUGCAUAGAGAUGACACAGAACACCGAUUGCGAAGGCAGCUUACUAAGCUAUUACUGACGCUCAUGCACGAAAGCGUGGGGAGCGAACAGGAUUAGAUACCCCAGUAGUC